CCCAAUCAGUUCUAGAAAAUGACAAAAAUACCCCUCAUAAAUGACGAAAAUAACCUUACACAAAAAUGGGAAAAAUUAUUUUUGAAACUUUUAUCUGAAAUAUUUUGGAUUUCAAUUUUCGGAACAUAUUUUUGAAUUCUGAAUUUUUUUAUCCAGAAUGUAUUUUUAGUUUUGUGUUUAGAAUUUUUUUUCCAACAUGUAUUUUGUUAUUUCUCAAUUAUAAUUAUUAUUUUGGAUUUUUUAAUUUGGAAUAAGGAUAAUUUUGAAAAUUUAAAAAAUUG
rnacentral:lncRNA from 1 species